rnacentral:rRNA from 1 species
GAUGAACGCUGGCGGCGUGCCUAAUACAUGCAAGUCGAGCGAACGGACGAGAAGCUUGCUUCUCUGAUGUUAGCGGCGGACGGGUGAGUAACACGUGGAUAACCUACCUAUAAGACUGGGAUAACUUCGGGAAACCGGAGCUAAUACCGGAUAAUAUUUUGAACCGCAUGGUUCAAAAGUGAAAGACGGUCUUGCUGUCACUUAUAGAUGGAUCCGCGCUGCAUUAGCUAGUUGGUAAGGUAACGGCUUACCAAGGCAACGAUGCAUAGCCGACCUGAGAGGGUGAUCGGCCACACUGGAACUGAGACACGGUCCAGACUCCUACGGGAGGCAGCAGUAGGGAAUCUUCCGCAAUGGGCGAAAGCCUGACGGAGCAACGCCGAGUGAGUGAUGAAGGUCUUCGGAUCGUAAAACUCUGUUAUUAGGGAGGAACAUAUGUGUAAGUAACUGUGCACAUCUUGACGGUACCUAAUCAGAAAGCCACGGCUAACUACGUG